rnacentral:rRNA from 1 species
UCGCGUCUGCUGUGAAAGCGCUCAACCGGGUCUGCAGUGGGUACGGGCAGACUAGAGUGCAGUAGGGGAGACUGGAAUUCCUGGUGUAGCGGUGAAAUGCGCAGAUAUCAGGAGGAACACCGAUGGCGAAGGCAGGUCUCUGGGCUGUUACUGACGCUGAGGAGCGAAAGCAUAGCGAACAGGAUUAGAUACCCUGGUAGUCCAUGCCGUAAACGUUGGGCACUAGGUGUGGGGGACAUUCCACGUCCGCGCCGUAGCUAACGCAUUAAGUGCCCCGCCUGGGGAGUACGGCCGCAAGGCUAAAACUCAAAGGAAUUGACGGGGGCCCGCACAAGCGGCGGAGCAUGCGGAUUAAUUCGAUGCAACGCGAAGAACCUUACCAAGGCUUGACAUUCACCGGACCGCCAGAGAUGGGGUUUCCCUUCGGGGCUGGUGGACAGGUGGUGCAUGGUUGUCGUCAGCUCGUGUCGUGAGAUGUUGGGUUAAGUCCCGCAACGAGCGCAACCCUCGUUCUAUGUUGCCAGCACGUGAUGGUGGGGACUCAUAGGAGACUGCCGGGGUCAACUCGGAGGAAGGUGGGGAUGACGUCAAAUCAUCAUGCCUUAUGUCUUGGGCUUCACGCAUGCUACAAUGGCCGGUACAAAGGGUUGCGAUACUGUGAGGUGGAGCUAAUCCCAAAAAGCCGGUCUCAGUUCGGAUUGAGGUCUGCAACUCGACCUCAUGAAGUCGGAGUCGCUAGUAAUCGCAGAUCAGCAACGCUGCGGUGAAUACGUUCGGGCCUUGUACACACCGCCCGUCAAGUCACGAAAGUUGGUAACACCGAAGCCGGUGGCCUAACCUUGUGAGGGAGCCGUCGAAGGUGGGACUGGCGAUUG